GGACAGGUGGCCGAGUGGUUAAAGGCAGCAGACUGUAAAUCUGCCGGGGUUGCCCCUACGCUGGUUCGAAUCCAGCCCUGUCCACCA
rnacentral:tRNA from 2 species